rnacentral:rRNA from 1 species
GGGCAGCAGUAGGGAAUCUUCCGCAAUGGACGAAAGUCUGACGGAGCAACGCCGCGUGAGUGAUGAAGGCUUUCGGGUCGUAAAACUCUGUUGUUAGGGAAGAACAAGUGCUAGUUGAAUAAGCUGGCACCUUGACGGUACCUAACCAGAAAGCCACGGCUAACUACGUGCCAGCAGCCGCGGUAAUACGUAGGUGGCAAGCGUUAUCCGGAAUUAUUGGGCGUAAAGCGCGCGCAGGUGGUUUCUUAAGUCUGAUGUGAAAGCCCACGGCUCAACCGUGGAGGGUCAUUGGAAACUGGGAGACUUGAGUGCAGAAGAGGAAAGUGGAAUUCCAUGUGUAGCGGUGAAAUGCGUAGAGAUAUGGAGGAACACCAGUGGCGAAGGCGACUUUCUGGUCUGUAACUGACACUGAGGCGCGAAAGCGUGGGGAGCAAACAGGAUUAGAUACCC